ensembl:misc_RNA
AUGACAUAGCCCUGGAAACUGACCUCCUUUAUUUAGCCACAAAACAGGUACAGCAUGGACAAUGGCAGUGCAAGCCUCCCUGUCCCCCAGGUUACCCUGCCAGUGUGCCUCAACAACUUGACGGAACAAACUCUCCUUAUAGGAGAGUGAGACACAGUACAGAAUUUCAGGCUUCAUGCCUAUUCAGGGCCUGUUCCUAA